ensembl:lncRNA
CUGCCGCUUCAUAAACCUGAAGGAGAACCUGUGGGUAGCUCGUCUCUGCCUUCAGACAUGAUUAUUCAUCGUGCGGCGACACGGAGAGUUCUCUGGCAGGAGUCAGACGUUACCUCUGCAGGAAUGGGGACUGCUCGUGGGAGCUGACGUCAGCACUCAGUGCAGUGAGGGUGUCAUUCCUUGUGCAAGACGAUGCUAUGCUGAACCUUUCUAGCCUGGUCAAUUUGAAAAUGCAUUCAAACCCAGAUAGCGAAGGACCACAGGCAUCUCUUGUCUUGUAGCUGGAAACACAGCAAAGCUUUACAAAAUGGACAUACUGGUUUUCUUUUUUUCUGAAUGGUUGCACUUAAAUCAGAACUCAGUGAUGUGUGCAUCUGCCAACACCAAACAAUACACCGUUUGUAGGUUUCUGUUUUCACAUGUCUAGCAAGGUUUGUAUUGAUCAAAUUUCACACUCAUAACGUCAAAGAAGCCAGAUUAUUUCACUGGAAUAAAAAUCAGUGCUUACAGACUUGUUGGAAAUAUUUUUAAAUUACCUUUCUCUUUUUACUGGCAUACAAAUUUUAAAGGAAGGUACGUUGCUUGUUUCUUCACUGAUAGAUUCAGAGGCAGUAUGUAUGGUUAGUAAUAAUUGUUUGGCAAGCCAAGCUGACUCCAAUGUUUGUUUUCGCAAUCCUUUCUACUGAAACCAACAUUGCUUUUCAGUCAGCUCUGUAUCUUAAACACAAUGUGUUGUGCACACAGGGCAAGGUGUGCCCCAUGACCCUGCCAGUUAUUCUGUGCAUGAUCAUAUUGCACUUAUCUAUCGUGGGAGAUUUGAAAAGCUUUCUCUCUGGGCCAUUGGAGGAAACCUUGUACUUUUGUAGCCUGACCGUGACAGAAAUCUGUAAGAUGAGAAGGUUUGCCAUGCCUAAGGUUAGUUCUGCUGCAGUAAGUCUUCCCGACAUCCAACAAUGCCAGAGAAAGCAUAGUUUCUGUUUGUGGAGAUUAAUUACUAUUGUGAAGGCAACUAAAAAUGAAAAGUGUGGGGUUUAUGGCAGUUUUAUUUUUAUUGCUGCUAUUAGUAGCUUCAAUUGCAGUCUGUAAGUAAAGUGGUGAGUUCUCAGGGAAUUUGUCAAGAGCAAGGACUGGUAGGUUAGAUCAAAAUGUGGUUUGUAGGAAGGGGAAUAUGGAAAGCAUUUCCUGUUUUUCAGCUGGCAUGGAUCUGCUUGAGCAAGACAUACUCUGCUAAAUUCAUCAAGCUGUUGUCCCAGACCCUGUAACAUGUGGCUCCAGCAGUGCCUUUACUCAGUUCGUAGCCUGGUGGAAAUGUCACAUCUGCCAAUCCUUACCACACAAUACAAAUGAGAAAAUACUUAAUCUUCAUACUUUAUGUGAGACCUCCUGGCUCUUUCCUUGUUGAGGGUGAGGACCACUCUCACUUUCUAUUAAAAGAAGGAACCAUGCUACCAAUCCUGUUGUUAUAUAAACCAAAUGUUGUUAUAUAAAUAAUUAUUCUGAAAUAUUUCAGUUCUGGCAUUUUUUUCUGGUGAUUUAUGGUGUUUUUAACCAAAGCAAUGAACAGAAAUUAAUACAAAGCUGUAUUAAAUUUAGUCAGAAAAAAUCAUGCAGCUUUUCAGUGUUCUAUUUAUCCUGCUAGUGUAGAUUUUUCUUCAAAAUAUAUGGCUCAAAUCUGCCCAGUUCUGCUUAACUCCGUCUUUUUUUCUCUCUCAGUUCUCCUGCUCCUUGACUAGAACCCAUCCUGACACACAAGCCAGGGCAAAUGCUUUUCAUUGCACACCCCAUGCUAGCGCUAUUUGUGUUCCUGAAUGUGAUCACUAGAAGCUUGCUUUGUCUCUUACUGCGAGAUGCAUGUUGGCAUUUCUUUAGAAAACCUGUGAAUACCACAGAGGCUCAAGGUGGACUUAAAGAUGCUCAAGGUCACAAAACAGAUUUAACAGCGUGACUGUACUGUUCAAGCAUAAGCAUUGUAGCCCUUCAUUCAGAGUGAUUUUGCUGCAGAGCAAGUUGGGCUGAACGAACCACUGGAGGUUGUUUGCAUGGAACUGCAACCGCAGACAAGAAGAUGGUUCUCUGAGGGCAUUACCAGCAUUUUCCUUGAAACAUUUGCUUCUUCAUGGAAACUUCCAUCUAUUAGCUUAGCUUGUUAGUUGUAAAGCCCUAUGGUUUGCUAAUCUUCUUCCUUCCUUAGCUUUUCAUUUCUUCAAAGUAGUGGUUACAGACUGGAACCUGCAAAGUGCUGAGCGCUGUAUUCCACAUCAAGCAAAACUCUUAAUGUUAAUCAUGCUCUGAAAAAUGCUGCCAGAUUAGAGCUAAAUCUUUACACAUCCCCUGUAUCUCUCCAGCUGGGUGCCUUUUUCGUUCAUGUAAAAGCAUGGCUGUGCAGUUAAGGCACUGAGCUUGGGCUGAGGCAGUGCUAAGUCCACUUUAAUCUACUACAGCCUUCUUUAAUCAUGUCCUAAUUUACGAAAUAGAAAUGAUAAAUAUUUUGUCUUUCUGAUUCUAAACUCUUGGGAUGGCAUUUAUUUCUUAGCCUUAUAAGAACAUUAAGACCUUAUGCGGUGCUACAAAUGAAUUCUGUCUCUUAGAGGGCAGACAUCUAAGCCCUGGGCUGACUGGCGAGGAUUCCUGCCAUCCAGCUUCAGAGCAGGAAUGCCCUGGGAGGGCUUCUUGUCGUUGGCUCUGUGCUGUCUAAUUGCACAGCAAAUAGCAUUGGUGCUUCAGAUAACGUUUUAUUCAAAGCCUUUUAUUUCCAGUUAAAUAAAAGAAGAGUAUAUUUCAGAUUGUCUUCACGUGCCUUCAUGUGAAGAAAGGCAAUGUUUUAGACGUUUUGAAAUUCAAUUCAAGUAAUGAGCAUUCAUUAUAUCUACAUUUUAAAGUGCCAGUUUCCAGCAUCUGCCUAAGAGAAAGUAUAUCUCACUUUUUCUCUCUACCUUUGUUAGUAAUUAUCAUAAUCACAGGGUAACAUCUCAUUUUUUGCAGUUUUGUGUAUUCUCUGAACAAUUCUUACCCGAUUGAGCUUACUGUCCCUGUCUCAUUUAUUUAAUUAAACAUUAAGUCAUUGAACUUUUAGUAUGCCAAGAUUACUAAUGUGGCAAAAUAGUAAUCCAUUAAACAUCCAGACAGUAAAUCUACCACCUACCUCUUUUGACGAGGUUAUAGUAUGCCAUACAAUUAAUUAUUUGAAGCUUGAAAACAAUUUCUGCGAAGUGCAAAAUGGAACUAUUACAUCUCCAUUAAAAGAAGAAAAGUAAUAACUUCUAAAGGUUUAAAAAACCUUUAAGCAAUAUCUGAUGUAUGUCGCUGCUACACAACACCUCCUGUGAAACAUUUCUUGCUUGUAAAGGCAAGAUCAUACCUACUGUUCUGAUAACAGUGAUUUACUGUGCUGUCUGUUUGUCCAUCAGUGCAUCUAUCUGUGAGUUAGCACGUUCCUAAAGCUCUUCACAAAGUUGACUUCCUUUUUCAAGCCAAGAGGUAGAGGUCUAAUAAGCAUCAUAGGAAGCAGCGCACUGCUAAACUGAUGAUGGGUGGAUGAGGGCCGAAGAGUGGCUCUGAAUUAACUUCCUGCUGGCUGAUGUUUCUGGAGGCACUUUCUCAACCACAGCAGAAGUCCGUCGUAAUAGUCAUAGAAUUACAGAUUCAUUAGGAUUGGAAAAGACCACUUCAGAUCAUCGAGUCCAGCCACCAACCCACCACCAUCAUGCCCAUUAUCCAUGUCACUCAGUGCCACAUCUACAUGUUUCUUAAACAUCUCCAGGGAUGGUGACUCCACCACCACUCUGGCAGCCUGUUCCAAUAAGCAUUCCCAAGUGCAUCAUUUUGUAUUUUCUUAUGGUUUUACUGGCCACACUUCAGCUGUUGUCCUCUUUGUGUUAUGCACUUUUGUGCUUAUGUGGCUCUGGUGUUAUCAGAGGAGUAAGACUUUGUUGGUAGUAUUUGAAAAUAUAGUUAGAAAUACUCAACCACUGGAAAAGUUAGGACAAAUCUUGUGAGCAAUAUUGUUAUUUGAAAAGAAUCCCACGAGGCUUUCCUUGGCUGUUUGCCUGUUCAUAGAAAUUAUUACAUGUAUAUGAUAUAGACAUCCAUAAAUACCAGUGAAUAAGUGGGUGAUUAAAAUGAUAAAAUCGUUAUAAAGGUUAUUCAAAUUAUAAAAUCAUUUAUAUUAAGUUACAUAAAUAAAUACUGUUGCAGUCAGAAAGUGAAAAGACUCUUCAUUCAUUUUUCCUGUAAUUCACUUCAGGCUCCAUAAAGAUCCUGAAGGAGAAAAUGCCUUCUUUUAUUUUGCUAAUACCAGUUUGGCCUUUCUGUGAGGGUUUUACAAAGCUAAAGGAGUCACUUCAGUCUAUUGUAAUCCCCUUUUUGUUUCAGAGAAUAUAUCCCAGAUUCUCUGUUCUUUAAGUAUCCAGUAAGACUCUUCUUGUUUGUUUUCAAAGGAAGCGUCCAUAAACCAUUUGAAAACAACAUAAUUAAGGUCCGAGCUGCCUGUGACAUCUCUCACAUGCGUGCCCAGCUGUUCUGUUGGUUUUGCUUGUUAUCAUCCAUCACCAGAUGAUAAAAGAAUAAUUCUGGAGAUACUGAUUGCUUAAUUAAUUGGAGUUCUUUUUUUGUUGUUGUUGCUUUUCUAAGGCUCCUGUUUGUAAUUGUAAUGAAGCAAUAAUAUAAU